rnacentral:lncRNA from 1 species
CUUUGAGGGAUCUGAUCAGAGAAGAUUGAAGAUGAAAGACAGCAACUAAAGAAAGUCUGAGGUCAAGAACUCAGACAGGAGGAGGCAAAGAUUAUAGACUUGUUGAGUUGAAGAGGCAUUGGCCGAGAUUUUAUAGUGAAGGAGAGAAAACUGUGGCGGCAACCUCACACGUCAGGACCAGAAGUCUAUGGUCAAUGAACACACUGUAUGGGCGGAAAGGGAAAGCUCCGCGGUGUUUCCAGUACUGCUGAAAAUGUUCACGCUUUCAGUAGGUGCCCUUUCUUGAAGU